rnacentral:rRNA from 1 species
GUUUUGUCGCCCGAGUUGUAAUCUGGAGAAGCGUUUUCCGNGCCGGACCGUGUACAAGUCUCUUGGAACAGAGCGUCAUAGAGGGUGAGAAUCCCGUCCAUGACACGGACUCCCGGUGCUUUGUGAUACGCUCUCGAAGAGUCGAGUUGUUUGGGAAUGCAGCUCAAAAUGGGUGGUAAGCUCCAUCUAAAGCUAAAUAUUGGCGAGAGACCGAUAGCGAACAAGUACCGUGAGGGAAAGAUGAAAAGCACUUUGGAAAGAGAGUUAAACAGUACGUGAAAUUGUUGAAAGGGAAACGCUUGAAGUCAGUCGCGUCUUACUUGACUCAGCCUUGCUUCGGCUUGGUGUAUUUCAAGUAGGAUGGGUCAACAUCGAUUUUGACCGGUGGACAAGGGGUUAAGGAAUGUGGCACUCUUCGGAGUGUGUUAUAGCCUUUUCUCAUAUACNUCGGUUGGGAUUGAGGCCCGCAGCGCGCCCUUGUGGCCGGAGGUUCGCCUCACGUAACGCGCUUAGGAUGUUGGCAUAAUGGCUUUAAGCGACCCGUCUUGAAACACGGACCAAGGAGUCUAACAUGCUCGCGAGUGUUAGGGUGGAAAACCCUUGCGCGUAAUGAAAGUGAAAGUUGAGACCCUCCGCAAGGGGGUGCAUCGACGCCCGGCCCUGAAGUUUACUGACGGUGCUGCGGUAGAGCGCGUAUGUUGGGACCCGAAAGAUGGUGAACUAUGCCUGAAUAGGGCGAAGCCAGAGGAAACUCUGGUGGAGGCUCGUAGCGAUUCUGACGUGCAAAUCGAUCGUCAAAUUUGGG